UGGCGGACGGGUGAGUAAUGUCUGGGAAACUGCCCGAUGGAGGGGGAUAACUACUGGGAACGGUAGCUAAUACCGCAUAAUGUCGCAAGACCAAAGAGGGGGACCUUCGGGCCUCUUGCCAUCGGAUGUGCCCAGAUGGGAUUAGCUAGUAGGUGGGGUAACGGCUCACCUAGGCGACGACCCCUAGCUGGUCUGAGAGGAUGACCAGCCACACUGGAACUGAGACACGGUCCAG
rnacentral:rRNA from 1 species